CGCCUCUUGAAUUUAUAUAAGAGGUCCAGCCUGCCCAGUGACCCUGUUCAACGGCCGCGGUAUCCUAACCGUGCGAAGGUAGCGUAAUCACUUGUUCUUUAAAUGAGGACUAGUAUGAACGGCAUCACGAAGGUUAUACUGUCUCCUUUUUCCAAUCAGUGAAUCUAAUCUCCCCGUGAAGAAGCGGGGAUAAAACUAUAAGACGAGAAGACCCUAUGGAGCUUAAAACAAUACAGCACUUGCUAAAAAAUUUAACAAUUCCAGAAUUUUUCAUUUUAUAAGCAACAUGACUGUAAGUUUUUGGUUGGGGUGACCACGGAGUAUAACACAACCUCCACGUUGAAAGAAUUUUAUUCUAAGCCAAAAAUUACAUUUUUAAGCAUCAAUAAAUUGACAUCUAUUGACCCAAUACUAUUGAACAACGAACCAAGUUACCCUAGGGAUAACAGCGCAAUCCACUUCAAGAGCUCCUAUCGACAAGUGGGUUUACGACCUCGAUGUUGGAUCAGGGUUUCCCAGUGGUGCAGCCGCUACUAAAGGUUCGUUUGUUCAACGAUUAAAACCCU
rnacentral:rRNA from 1 species